UACGUAGGGUCCGAGCGUUGUCCGGAAUUACUGGGCGUAAAGCGUGCGCAGGCGGUUUUGUAAGUCUGUCGUGAAAUCCCCGGGCUCAACCUGGGAAUUGCGAUGGAGACUGCAAGGCUAGAAUCUGGCAGAGGGGGGUAGAAUUCCACGUGUAGCAGUGAAAUGCGUAGAGAUGUGGAGGAACACCGAUGGCGAAGGCAGCCCCCUGGGUCAAGAUUGACGCUCAUGCACGAAAGGCGUGGGGAGCAAACAGG
rnacentral:rRNA from 1 species